rnacentral:rRNA from 1 species
GAUGAACGCUCGCUACAGGCUUAACACAUGCAAGUCGAGGGGAAACGACAUAGAAAGCUUGCUUUUGAUGGGCGUCGACCGGCGCACGGGUGAGUAACGCGUAACCAACCUGCCCACCACUUGGGGAUAACCUUGCGAAAGUAAGACUAAUACCCACUGAUAUCUCUAGAAGACAUCUGAACGAGAUUAAAGAUUUAUCGGUGAUGGAUGGGGAUGCGUCUGAUUAGCUUGUUGGCGGGGUAACGGCACACCAAGGCAACGAUCAGUAGGUGUUCUGAGAGGAAGGCCCCCCACAUUGGAACUGAGACACAGACCAAACUCCUACGGGAGGCAGCAGUGUGGAAGAUUAGGCAAUGGACGAGAGUCUGAACCAGCCAAGUAGCGGGCAGGAAGACGGCCCUAGGGGUUGUAAACUGCUUGUAUAAGGGAAUAAAGUGAGUAUCGUGAGACUUUUUGCAUGUACCUAAUGAAUAAGGACCGGCUAAUUCCGUG